rnacentral:rRNA from 1 species
UACGAAGGUCCCAAGCGUUAUCCGGAUUUAUUGGGUUUAAAGGGUGCGUAGGCGGACUAUUAAGUCAGUGGUGAAAGCUCUCGGCCUAACCGAGAAAUUGCCAUUGAUACUGAUGGUCUUGAGUACAUUUGAGGCGGGCGGAAUGUGUCAUGUAGCGGUGAAAUGCUUAGAUAUGACACAGAACACCGAUUGCGUAGGCAGCUCGCUAAACUGUAACUGACACUGAGGCACGAAAGCGUGGGGAGCAAACAGG